UACGUAGGGUGCGAGCGUUAAUCGGAAUUACUGGGCGUAAAGCGUGCGCAGGUGGCUAUGUAAGACCGACGUGAAAUCCCCGGGCUCAGCCUGGGAAUUGCGUAGGUGACUGCAUGGCUAGAGUGUGGCAGAGGGGGGUGGAAUUCCACGUGUAGCAGUGAAAUGCGUAGAGAUGUGGAGGAACACCGAUGGCGAAGGCAGCCCCCUGGGCUAACACUGACACUCAUGCACGAAAGCGUGGGGAGCAAACAGG
rnacentral:rRNA from 1 species